rnacentral:rRNA from 1 species
GACGAACGCUGGCGGCGUGCUUAACACAUGCAAGUCGAACGGUGAAGGGACCAGCUUGCUGGUUCUGGAUGAGUGGCGAACGGGUGAGUAACACGUGAGUAACCUGCCCCCUUCUUCUGGAUAACCGCAUGAAAGUGUGGCUAAUACGGGAUAUUCUGGGUCUGUCGCAUGGCGGGCCCGGGAAAGAUAUUGCUUCGGUGGGGGAUGGGCUCGCGGCCUAUCAGCUUGUUGGUGGGGUGAUGGCCCACCAAGGCGGUGACGGGUAGCCGGCCUGAGAGGGUGGACGGUCACACUGGGACUGAGACACGGCCCAGACUCCUACGGGAGGCAGCAGUGGGGAAUAUUGCACAAUGGGCGCAAGCCUGAUGCAGCGACGCCGCGUGAGGGAUGGAGGCCUUCGGGUUGUAAACCUCUUUCGCCAGUGAAGCAGGCCUGCUCCUUGUGGGUGGGUUGACGGUAGCUGGAUAAGAAGCGCCGGCUAACUACGUG